rnacentral:rRNA from 1 species
AAUUCCAGCUCCAAUAGUGUAUAUUAGAGUUGUUGCAGUUAAAAAGCUCGUAGUUGGAUUUCUGUCGGUGCUGUCUUAUUCUGCCUGUAUAGGUGUGAAUAUAGAUUGGCUUCGGCAUUAUUCCGUAGCUAUAUAUUGCACUUAAUUGUGUGAUAUAUGGUAUUUCGGAACUUUUACUUUGAGAAAAAUAGAGUGUUUCAAGCAGGCUUGUUGCCUUGAAUACUGCAGCAUGGAAUAAUAAGAUAGGACCUUGGUUCUAUUUUGUUGGUUUCUAGGACUAAGGUAAUGAUUAAUAGGGACAGUUGGGGGCAUUCGUAUUUAACUGUCAGAGGUGAAAUUCUUAGAUUUGUUAAAGACGAACUACUGCGAAAGCAUUUGCCAAGGAUGUUUUCAUUAAUCAAGAACGACAGUAGGGGGUUUGAAGACGAUUAGAUACCGUCGUAAUCUCUACCAUAAACUAUGCCGACUAGAGAUAGGGAAACGCCUACCUUGGCUUCUCCUG